UAAAAAAAUGUUUGUCUGGAUUAAUAAAAUUUAUUUAAGUAUUUGUACCAAUUUAAUUAUAUACGUAAUAGUUACUAAUUUUUUAAUUAUUCAAUAUAUAUUUAUUAUUUCAUAAUAUGUAAAAAAUAUAUAAUACUUAAAAAUAAUUUAUAUAUAAUAUUCAUUCCGCGUAAGGCACAUGUCUUAACCUAGUAUGAGUGUUUUAAAACAUAAGAAUUUAAGCUUUGAUAUAAGAAGAUAUGAAAUUGGUGCUGCCUAGUCUUAUGGCAGCAACAAACGAAAAUUUGUAAACCAAGUUACAUUUUUUUGUUGCUUUUGUUGUCAGUGAUGAGUAGAGUAGGUCGAAUUAAUGAUCUACAAACAUUUAGUACGAAACAAACAUGGCUACGAGUUUUAGUCUAAAUUUCAUGGUUAUACAAGCAAAUUUUAAUAUAUUGAUCUAGUGUUUCCGGCGUUGCGCUUUUCUCGAGGUGGACGUUCGGUUCUUGUAACCGCCGUGGCUCCUUUCUCAGGUGAACGGUCGGCUUUUGUUACCGCCGUGGCUCCUUACUCAGGUGAACGGGCGGCUUUAGUUAUCUUGGAAGGCGGAGGCUCGUUUUGCUCCGGUUGUUUGUGGGUGGUGUCUCGGUGUCGGUUUGAGGCGUCGAUGGGGAGUUAUCCCUUUGAAUGAAGCGUCGGUGGAGUUAGGGUUUGGGGUCUUUAUGCUCCGGUUCGCGAUUCACUUGUCUAGGAUUUGAAGUGGUUCAAAGGCCGAGGAGAUCUUGAUAGAUCGAUGGAAUCUCCCGGCGUGAAGACAGGGGGGUGUCGAAUGGGUUGGUUUCGUCAGAGGCUCGUCUGUUUCCGAGAUCUGAUGAAACGCGUUUUCAGUUUGAUGAUUGUUCCGGCGGUGCUGUGGCGGAGAUGACAAGUUGAGGCGGUUGUGUUGUGUGUCGCACUCACUGAGCAGUCUUCUCCUCGAUUGGAGCCUCCUUGGUUCGUGCUCCGAUCAGAUCGUACAGAGAUGGAGCGCGGAGGCGGCAGAGCGUUUUAGGCGCUAGGAUUUCCUGGUUUGUGGGCCUUUGGACCGGUUUGAUUUGUUGGGUGUCCAAUGUGUAUGGGCUUUGUAAGACUUUUGGGCUUUAGCCCUGUUUAAUAUAAAUUUCUAUAUGGAAAAAAAAAUGAUUCAUGUGUU